rnacentral:rRNA from 1 species
GAUGAACGCUGGCGGCGUGCCUAAUACAUGCAAGUCGAGCGAAGCGGGAACGGGUGAGUAACAGGUGGAUAACCUCCUAUAAGGCUGGGAUAACUUCCGGAAAACGAAGACAAACCGGCAACUUAUUAUUGGAUCCGGGCUGCAUUAGCUAGUUGGUAAGGUAACGGCUGACCAAGGCAACGAUGCAUAGCCGACCUGAGAGGGUGAUCGGCCCCACUGGAACUGAGAAACGGUCCAGACUCCUACGGGAGGCAGCAGAAGGGAAUAUUCCGCAAUGGGCGAAAGCCUGACGGAGCAACGCCGCGUGAGUGAUGAAGGUCUUCGGAUCGUAAAACUCUGUUAUUAGGGAAGCGGUACCUAUUCAGAAAGCCACGGCUAACUACGUGCCAGCAGCCGCGGUAAUAC